rnacentral:lncRNA from 1 species
CCAAAGCAACAAAACCAACAGAGGUUAUGUCGAGAUCAUUUCCACCAACCUGCAACCGCAAACACCCUUGCAGAGUUAAGAGUAAAUAUACAAGAACGUGAACCAACUAAUGAGAACAUUCAUCCACCAGAGCUAUUUCUCUUUGCCCCUUUUUUCAAUGUACAACAACAAUGAGGAAAUUCUAUGAUCCAGUUCCAGGGAUGGCGUUUUUAUAUUUAGUUUGAGACAACAAGAGCAAAACCGCACAAGAUCUUUGCUGUAAGCACAGUUACAGCAAAACAUGAAGCAAUCCGUUAUCAAUACACUUACCAAACCACGCCGUCCGAGACUGUUUAAUGAUUCAUUUGAUUCCUCCUUCUCAUUCGUCGCAGCAACGUCCUAAAAAUACAUAGAAGAAGAAAACGCGCAUCUAAGACAUCAGGAACUCCAAAUUUGUCAGUGUGUUUGCAAGCAAGCAGAACACAACAACCAAAGAAAUCGUUGAAUGGAGAGAGAGAUAGAAAAACCUGAGCAGAGAUGAAGGGGAGAGCACAGAGCAAGAAUCCGAAAGCCAGGAGAAGAGUUGGGUUUGAGCAAAACCCCAUGAUACCAACACCAAAGUAGAGCCGACGAGAAGGAGGUCCGAGUGUCGGUGAGACAGAUCUGAAGGAAUGAAAUGAGAGAUCGCAAUUUCAGAAGAUGUACGGAAUGGUAGAAUCGUUCACGAUCUACAAGGACAAAGCUCGGAGAGAGAGAAGGGAGGAUCCCGCUACGAACGAGCGAAGAUCCCAAAAAGCAAAGAAGAAAGGUUGAGAGAAGGAGGAGAAAGGGAAAGA